rnacentral:rRNA from 1 species
GAUGAACGCUGGCGGCGUGCCUAAUACAUGCAAGUCGAGCGAACAGACGAGGAGCUUGCUCCUCUGACGUUAGCGGCGGACGGGUGAGUAACACGUGGAUAACCUCCCUAUAAGACUGGGAUAACUUCGGGAAACCGGAGCUAAUACCGGAUAAUAUAUUUAACCGCAUGGUUCAAUAGUGAAAGACGGUUUUGCUGUCACUUAUAGAUGGAUCCGCGCCGCAUUAGCUAGUUGGUAAGGUAACGGCUUACCAAGGCAACGAUGCGUAGCCGACCUGAGAGGGGGAUCGGCCACACUGGAACUGAGACACGGUCCAGACUCCUAGGGGAGGCAGCAGGAGGGAAUCUUCCGCAAUGGGCGAAAGCCUGACGGAGCAACGCCGCGUGAGUGAUGAAGGUCUUCGGAUCGUAAAACUCGGUUAUUAGGGAAGAACAAAUGUGUAAGUAACUAUGCACGUCUUGACGGUACCGAAUCAGAAAGCCACGGCUAACUACGUG